ACACAUGCAAGUCGAACGAACCCUUCGGGGUGAGUGGCGCACGGGUGCGUAACGCGUGGGAAUGUACACCUUGGUAAGGAAUAACUGCUGGAAACGGUAGCUAAUACCUUAUAAUGACUCCGGUCCAAAGAUUUAUCGCCAAGGAAUCAGCCCGCGUUAGAUUAGUUUGUUGGUGGGGUAACGGCCUACCAAGACUACGAUCUAUAGGGGUUCUGAGAGGAUGAUCCCCCACACUGGUACUGAGACACGGACCAGACUCCUACGGGAGGCAGCAGUGAGGAAUAUUGGACAAUGGGCGCAAGCCUGAUCCAGCCAUGCCGCGUGUAUGAAGAAGGCCUUAGGGUUGUAAAGUACUUUCAAACGUGAAGAUAAUGACGGUAGCGUUAGAAGAAGCUCCGGCUAAAUUCGUGCCAGCAGCCGCGGUAAUACGAAUGGAGCAAGCGUUGUUCGGAAUCACUGGUCUUAAAGCGU
rnacentral:rRNA from 1 species